rnacentral:misc_RNA from 1 species
GAAUUGGUGGUUUGGCUUCACCAUCUUGUCAGCCAAGUAAGGGCUAGCAAUGGUGGAAUAAGAUCUCCAGUUAAAUCUCCAAUUUGCUCGCCCAAUCAGAAGACAAUUCAGUUAUCUACCAACAAGCCAAGCUCUCCAUCCCCAAUGCUGUCGGUUGAAGAUCAAGAAAUGCUUCGAGAUGUAAGCAAGAGGAAAAAGACACCCGGCAUAAGCAAGAGUCAGGAAUUUGAUACUGCAAAAA